UUAGACACCUUAUUUAUAUAGGUUAGUUAUUUUAGUUAUUUAGCGACGCACCAUAGUAGACGCAUAUUGAACGGGACUAGUGACGUUUGGGAUAUGUUGGGUUAGAGACCGGAAAAUCAGUUAGCGAUAGAACAUUCCAGGGUAACGACGUGUUUAGUGACAGAGACUUCUACUGUGGCCCUUUUAUCAUAAUAAAUACAUGUUGAAUAGUUCAUCAGAGUCGACUACAUCUCUUCACUAGUUAAAAUAGAUGUGCCAGUUCUUGUUUGUGUUGUAGUUCAACUGCACGUAAUACACCCGGACAAUUACACCCAAACGAUUGCAGAGUAAUUGGUUGACUUCAAGACAGCCUGAACUAGCAACAUCACAGUGGCGACCCCGAACCUCGAAGCCGGACCCCUGUUGAAGCCGAACAUCGAACCGAACCUCGAAGCCGGACCCCUGAUGAAGCUGAACAUCGAACCGGACUUCGAAGCAGAACGUUUACUCAGGUGAGGGUCGUGCACUCGAAGAUAUAAGAUUUCAUCGGAGUACGGCUGAACACAGCAGUAUCGCAGAGUGACUUUGUUCUAGAUCUACAUACAGUCAUCGCCUGUUUGAUCGCACGUUCAACGAGCCGUUAACUCAGGGUGACCUUCGUCAGGACCGUAAUCAUCGCAACGCCUGAUCUUCAUAUGCUGAAUCGACCUACAGCCAGAGAAACCGUUCAUUCAUAACGGGUGAGAGAUCGUUAGUGAACCUGUUGGACAUAUUUUUUCUUCGUCAUAGGAGCCACAUUGAGUAUCAAGUUUUACCUCGUCAGUUUCGAGAAGGACAGUUUACCCGCUGUCAGAAGUAUUGUGAGUACUACAAGUUUGGUAGCUAACUAAAUCGAAAUCGCUCUGUCGUCUUACCCUUGGAGAGAUUCUUGUGGAGCAGUUUGCUCAUUGAACCGGUUGCUUGCCACGUUUAUAACGGUCACUGUGUUUAACCUUUGGAAGGUUAGUGAAGUAAUCUUUAUCAGUACUGAACAUUGAUAUAUCUAGUAUUCGUCGGUCUAGACCAUAUCUAGACUUGUUGAUAUUGCAGUUGUGGAAACAGCUACAUCCACUUAAUCUCGUUGAAAACCGUUAGUCGUAUAACGGAACGUCGUCGGAGGUGACCUUGGUCUCACCUAGUCUACAUUGGACAGUUUGGUCUAGUGAAGCAGAGUACAACAGCAAACUUCGUCGUACUACCAGAGUAGCAGCAGAAGCAGUGAACUAUUUUAGAGAACCGUUAUUCGUCAGCCCAGAUCAAGUCAUCGUCAAGAAAUUCGUUAUUCGUCAGUCGUCCAGAUCAAGUUGUCGUCAAGAGACUGUUAUUUGUCAGUAGUCGUCUACACAAGUCAAGUCAUCGCCAGAAGAACCGUUAACCUAUUCGUCAGUAACUGUGUACACAAGGUCGUCGGAACUACACAUACGGUCAUCAACAGUCGUCGAAGAAACUGGAACAUUUUGCUGUGGCAUAUCAGGACAUCUGUGGCAUUACGUGGGAUACUGGUAGCACCGGAGAACAGAGUCAGAACUGGAAGAGAGGCAGUGGAAUUUGUUGUGAUCUAACAUAUUCGGGAGUCCGAACAAAGGGAUCUUUCUUAUCAAAAGCUAAGUGCCAUUUUUCUUAUUAGUAUAUGUUUAGAUUGCCCUUAGAAAUAGAUUUUGUCUAAAUUUGGUACGUUAGCCUGAGUAAAAUCAGGUGGUGCGCCUUAAAACCCGUCGGGGUAGAAGACGUAAUUUAGAUGAAAAGCUAUAUUAUACGUUUAGGGUUGUAAUUUGUUUUGUUUGUGCAAACGUCAUAUCCGUUGUUGCCUGGUUACUUCGUGACGUUAUCAUUGUGUGCCAUAUUGUCACAUCCCAACCCAUAGUGAUAGUCUCAUUUAAUUAUUUCAUUUGUUUAUAUUAUUUUAAAUUAUUUAUUUUUAUUAAUUUAAUUAGAUCUGUAUUUUUUUUUCACUUAAUGAUAGAAAGUGCGGGUAGGAUUCUUUUACUGUGAAUCAGACUAAAAUAAUUUUAGUUUGAGCGGUUAAAAUCAAAUAUGAUUUUGCCAUGAGAAUAAUGCCGAAACUGGCUAUGUAGUCAAACACUGUCGUCUGGCUAAAUUUAGAUCUGCAAAUUGUUGUACAUCUCUUUGGUACAAUUUAAUUAUCUAGACUCUACUUUGAAAUAUUAUUAAGUUGAAGAUGAAUGAAGAUUACUGCCAGUGAAGAACAUUUGAGAUGUAUAGGACGUGCCCAUAAGAUGCCACAUUUUCCUCCAUGAUGAACUAUGUACCAAUGAAGAUGAUUCUGGAAUGUUAUGAACUGUUAUGAACAUUGACAUGAAUAUGAGGAACUGUCAAGAUGAAGAUGUCAAGAUGAAGAGAUCAAGAUUUUAUGUUUGUGGUCUUCCCCUUAAAUUGAAAAUGCCCUUGUAAGACUUGACAGUAGUGGAAAAAUAUUGACAUAUUUUUUUUUCAAGGGGGGGAGGAAUCUGUUAGACACCUUAUUUAUAUAGGUUAGUUAUUUUAGUUAUUUAGCGACGCACCAUAGUAGACGCAUAUUGAACGGGACUAGUGACGUUUGGGAUAUGUUGGGUUAGAGACCGGAAAAUCAGUUAGCGAUAGAACAUUCCAGGGUAACGACGUGUUUAGUGACAGAGACUUCUACUGUGGCCCUUUUAUCAUAAUAAAUACAUGUUGAAUAGUU